rnacentral:tRNA from 1 species
GCCUGGGUGGCUCAGUCGGUUAAGCCUCCGACUUCGGCUCAGGUCAGAUCUCACUGUUUGUGGGUUCGAGCCCCACGUCAGGCU